rnacentral:misc_RNA from 1 species
AUCGGCCAAAAUAUGGUGUCGACAUCCCUCACAUCCCCCUUCUCUAAAAACCACACACAUACAGGCAGAGAUAUGCAAUUUCCUGAAAAAGGUUACUUCCUAGUGUCUUGAAUAUGUAUUUGGCAGUGAUUGAAUUUUACUUUCCCCAAAUGUUGAAAGUUUUAUAGCAUAUUAUGGUUGCAGUUUUCACCUCUGUGUGUGUGUAACUGUGUGUGUCACAAUCAAAUAUUUAACAGAUGGUG